CUCAGACUCACAGAGAUCCACCUGCCUCUGCUUCCCACGUGCUGGGAUUAAAGGAACUGAAAUUUCAGAGCCUCUAAAAUGUGAAAAACAAAAACAAAAAAUUGUAUGCUACAAGAGAAUCGUGCUUUGGAUCUCUGGCUGUCCUGGAACUCACUGUGAGGAAGCAGCCUGGCCUGGAACUCGACCCACCUGCUUCUCCCUCCUGAGUGUGAGCACGGGAACUGAAAGCAGACACCACCACACCUGAUGACUCACCCUAUAAACCUCCGGCCAUCACCAUUCCCGCCUGAGUGGGCCAUGUGCUGCCUUCCAGCUGACAUCACUGGAAACCUUGAGUCUGCACCAAAGCAGCCCCGGGCCUCCAUGACCUUUCUCCACAAUGCACAGCGGGGCUGGACUUCUCAAAGCUCAGAACAUUCAUGUCUGUUGCUCAGACCCCAUGCAGGCUACCAUUUGAGCUCAGCCCAUUCUUAGAUAUUUAUGAAUACCCUACAGCAGCCCCAUUGAAAAUCAAGACUCAGAUUCUGGCUUUCAAAAACUUUCCUAGGGCCGGUGAGCUGGCUCGGCAGGUAAAAGUGCUUGCAGUCAAACCCGACGUUUUAAAACAAGCCUCAGAACACAAUUGGCGGAAGGAGAGAACAAACUUCCACAAGCUGCCUUCUGACCUCCAUCCACACUUGCGUUCUGAUGUAUUCCAAGCCCACUCUUGAACACUCACAUCCACACGCAAUACAUAAAAAUGUAAUAAGAUUUUAAAAAGCUUUCCUGAUCUGCUCCAGGAUUUCAGGAAGCCCUGUGUCUGUUUGCCUCAGUUGAGAGAAGGCCAGCAGGGCAGAGGAAGCCUGUGACUGCCUCACGCUGACACACAGAUGACUUUGGAGAAGUCACCUAAGAAAUAUCUUACCUCAAUGGCCAUGUCUGCUUUCGUUCCUACGGUUCCUACAGGAUCUGCAGUUGCCUCAUCCCCCUGUAGCAGCACACCGGACCAC